rnacentral:rRNA from 1 species
GCUUAGGAAUCUGCCUAUUAGUGGGGGACAACAUUCCGAAAGGAAUGCUAAUACCGCAUACGUCCUACGGGAGAAAGCAGGGGACCUUCGGGCCUUGCGCUAAUAGAUGAGCCUAAGUCGGAUUAGCUAGUUGGUGGGGUAAAGGCCUACCAAGGCGACGAUCUGUAGCGGGUCUGAGAGGAUGAUCCGCCACACUGGGACUGAGACACGGCCCAGACUCCUACGGGAGGCAGCAGUGGGGAAUAUUGGACAAUGGGGGGAACCCUGAUCCAGCCAUGCCGCGUGUGUGAAGAAGGCCUUAUGGUUGUAAAGCACUUUAAGCGAGGAGGAGGCUACUAGUAUUAAUACUACUGGAUAGUGGACGUUACUCGCAGAAUAAGCACCGGCUAACUCUGUGCCAGCAGCCGCGGUAAUACAGAGGGUGCGAGCGUUAAUCGGAUUUACUGGGCGUAAAGCGUGCGUAGGCGGCCAUUUAAGUCAAAUGUGAAAUCCCCGAGCUUAACUUGGGGAAUUGCAUUCGAUACUGGAUGGCUAGAGUAUGGGAGAGGAUGGUAGAAUUCCAGUGUAGCGGUGAAAUGCGUAGAGAUCUGGAGGAAUACCGAUGGCGAAGGCAGCCAUCUGGCCUAAUACUGACGCUGAGUACGAAAGCAUGGGGAGCAAACAGGAUUAGAUACCCUGGUAGUCCAUGCCGUAAACGAUGUCUACUAGCCGUUGGGGCCUUUGAGGCUUUAGUGCGCAGCUA